rnacentral:rRNA from 1 species
UACGUAGGGUGCAAGCGUUAAUCGGAAUUACUGGGCGUAAAGCGUGCGCAGGCGGGCUUGUAAGUCUGUCGUGAAAGCCCCGGGCUCAACCUGGGAAUUGCGAUGGAGACUGCAAGGCUUGAAUCUGGCAGAGGGGGGUAGAAUUCCACGUGUAGCAGUGAAAUGCGUAGAGAUGUGGAGGAACACCGAUGGCGAAGGCAGCCCCCGGGGUCAAGAUUGACGCUCAUGCACGAAAGCGUGGGGAGCAAACAGG